rnacentral:misc_RNA from 1 species
GUGGGGUUCUCUCUCAAGGUAAAAGAAAAACUUGUGAUGAUACCAAUUGGCAGCUACUAGGAAUUUUAUGUGAAAAUUUUCAUGUAUAAACACGAGUAGGUGAUAUGCUGGAAGUGGUAUGAUUAUGGCCAGUUCUUCUUUGUCAAUUAUUACGCUAACGACUGUCUACAGCUGCCUUUCUAGAAGACACAAGUAUUGAUAAUUGGAAAAUGUUUUCAGAAGUAGCAGCAAGCAUUGAAUUGCACUAUAACUGAUGCUGUUUCAUGCCCUCUGUUCUAUUUCAAUUAAUCAGAACUGUUUCCUUUUGACAGGGAAUGAUGUUGGAACUUGUA